ACGCCGCGUGAGUGACGAAGGUCUUCGGAUCGUAAAGCUCUGUCAGCAGGGAAGAAAUGUGCGAUGGCUAAUAUCCAUUGUACUUGACGGUACCUGCAAAGGAAGCACCGGCUAACUCCGUGCCAGCAGCCGCGGUAAUA
rnacentral:rRNA from 1 species